GACGAACGCUGGCGGCGUGCUUAACACAUGCAAGUCGAACGGAAAGGCCCUGCUUUUGUGGGGUGCUCGAGUGGCGAACGGGUGAGUAACACGUGAGUAACCUGCCCUUGACUUUGGGAUAACUUCAGGAAACUGGGGCUAAUACCGGAUAGGAGCUCCUGCUGCAUGGUGGGGGUUGGAAAGUUUCGGCGGUUGGGGAUGGACUCGCGGCUUAUCAGCUUGUUGGUGGGGUAGUGGCUUACCAAGGCUUUGACGGGUAGCCGGCCUGAGAGGGUGACCGGCCACAUUGGGACUGAGAUACGGCCCAGACUCCUACGGGAGGCAGCAGUGGGGAAUAUUGCACAAUGGGCGGAAGCCUGAUGCAGCAACGCCGCGUGCGGGAUGACGGCCUUCGGGUUGUAAACCGCUUUCGCCUGUGACGAAGCGUGCGUGACGGUAAUGGGUAAAGAAGCACCGGCUAACUACGUGCCAGCAGCCGCGGUGAUACGUAGGGUGCGAGCGUUGUCCGGAUUUAUUGGGCGUAAAGGGCUCGUAGGUGGUUGAUCGCGUCGGAAGUGUAAUCUUGGGGCUUAACCCUGAGCGUGCUUUCGAUACGGGUUGACUUGAGGAAGGUAGGGGAGAAUGGAAUUCCUGGUGGAGCGGUGGAAUGCGCAGAUAUCAGGAGGAACACCAGUGGCGAAGGCGGUUCUCUGGGCCUUUCCUGACGCUGAGGAGUGAAAGCGUGGGGAGCGAACAGGCUUAGAUACCCUGGUAGUCCACGCUGUAAACGGUGGGUACUGGGUGUGGGGUCCAUUCCACGGGUUCCGUGCCGUAGCUAACGCUUUAAGUACCCCGCCUGGGGAGUACGGCCGCAAGGCUAAAACUCAAAGGAAUUGACGGGGCCCCGCACAAGCGGCGGAGCAUGCGGAUUAAUUCGAUGCAACGCGUAGAACCUUACCUGGGUUUGACAUGGAUCGGGAGUGCUCAGAGAUGGGUGUGCCUCUUUUGGGGUCGGUUCACAGGUGGUGCAUGGCUGUCGUCAGCUCGUGUCGUGAGAUGUUGGGUUAAGUCCCGCAACGAGCGCAACCCUUGUUCACUGUUGCCAGCACGUUAUGGUGGGGACUCAGUGGAGACCGCCGGGGUCAACUCGGAGGAAGGUGGGGAUGACGUCAAGUCAUCAUGCCCCUUAUGUCCAGGGCUUCACGCAUGCUACAAUGGCUGGUACAGAGAGUGGCGAGCCUGUGAGGGUGAGCGAAUCUCGGAAAGCCGGUCUCAGUUCGGAUUGGGGUCUGCAACUCGACCUCAUGAAGUCGGAGUCGCUAGUAAUCGCAGAUCAGCAACGCUGCGGUGAAUACGUUCCCGGGGCU
rnacentral:rRNA from 1 species